CUAGGCGGUGCGGUGCGGGGGCCCGGCGGGCGCGCCUGCGCGCUGCGUCCUGGGAAAGGGCGGGCGCCGGCGUAGCGGGCUAGACGUUGAGGGACGGGCGCGCGCGGAGGGGCUGCUUGAGGGAGGCGGACGCCGGGAAGAGAAAACCUGGCUCAAGGACACCCGGAGACGCUACAGGAAUAUUCCUGGCGGCGUCGUUAAUAAGGACGAAGUCUGGAACCCCCCCCCAAGUGUCUAAGGCGACGAUACUUCAGUGAAUUGUGGUAGAUCGUGCAGCAGCACAACUACCCAGCAGCAGUGGGUGGCAUACGGCAACCAGGACGAACGGACUGUUGCGGUGGCCAAGACGUUCGUUCGUUUUUCCCGGUAAGCUGUCUCUAGCAGUACCUAGUUGUCUUUCACUUCACUGGAAAGUUUUGUUAGAUUGUAUGUGACAGCUAUCAUAUCAGCGUGCAUUUAAGAAAAGACUUAUAAAACUUGGUGAAUUUUUGUGUAGCCAUCUUACUGUUGAAGAUGGAAGGAAAAAAAGCAAUAUUUUCGGCAUGUCAUGCUUUAUUAUUUCAAGAAAGGUAAAAAUGCAGCUGAAACGCACAAAAAGAUUUGUGCAGCGUGUGGAGACGGUGCUGUGACGGAUCGAACGUGUCAAAAAUGGUUUGUAAAAUUCCUCGCUCGGGUUAGACCAGGGUUAGACCAGUUGAUUGAUAGCAAUCAAAUCGAGACAUUAAUGGAGGACAAUCAACGUUAUACCACGUGGGAGAUAGACAGCAUACUCAAAGUAUCCAGAUCAAGCGCUGAUAAUCCUUUGCACCAGCUGGGUUUUGCGAAUCGCUUUGAUGUUUGGGUUCCACAUAAGUUAAGCGAAAGACACAUUAUUGACCAUAUUUCCGCGUGCGAUUCUCUACUUAAAGAUAACGAAAACGUUCCGUUUUUAAAACAAAUUGUGACGGGCGAUGAAAAGCAGAUGAUGUACAAUAAUGUGGAACGGAAGAGAUUGUGGGGCAAUCGAAAUGAACCACCUCCAACCACACCAACAUCACUGGAGUUCAUCCAAAGAAGGUGAUGUUGUGUAUAUGGUGGGAUUGGAAGGGAGUCCUCUAUUAUGAGCUCCUUACAGAAAAACCAAACAAUUUCAACAACUAUUGCUCCCAAUUAGACCAACUGAAAGGAGCACUCGGAAGAAAAGUGCCUGGAAUUAGUCAACAGAAAAUGCAUACUCUUCCAUCAGCAUAAUGCAAGGCUGCAUGUAUCUUUGAUGACCAGGCAAAAACUGUUACAGCUUGGCUGGGAAGUUCUGAUUCAUCCGCUGUUUUCACCAGACAUUGAUUGCACCUUCGGAUUUCCAUUUAUUUUGGUCUUUACAAAAUUCUCUUAAUGGAAAAAAUUUCAAUUCCCUGGAAGACUGUGAAAGGCAGCCGGAAAAGUUCUUUGCUCAAAAAGAUAAAAAGUUUUGGGAAGAUGGAAUUAUGAAGUUGCCUGAAAAAUGGCAGAAGGUAGUGGAACAAAAGGGUGAAUAGGUUGUUCAAUAAAGUUCUUGGUGAAAAUGAAAAAUGUGUCUUUUAUUUUUGCUUAAAAACGAAGGAACUUUUUGGCCAACCAGUAGCUACACGAAACAGCAUGAAAUUCGCAAACAUAGUUCUGGGUAUACGAAGCCAAAGACAAAGGAAUAUUUACUGUGGGAAUCCAUUUUAACAUCCAGAAGUAGGCAGUACUAAACUAUGUUGUUCAGGGUGCAUUUCCAGGUGACGUAAUUAUAAAGAGAAAAGCAAGGAAGUAAUUACUACAAAAGUCAGAAUGGUAGUUACCUCCGAGCAAAGGAGGGGACUGUGAUCAGGGAGGGUCAGAGGAGGUGCUUCUGGAGUGUUGAGAACAUUCUAUUUUUUGACCUAGGUGGUGGUUACUCAGUUGUUUGAUUUAAAAGUAUUCUUUAUAAACAGUGCUUUCGUGUUGUGCAUACUCUUCUCCAUGAAUGUUAUUUCUUGCUAUUUUUUAAAAAUAGCACCUUAAAGAAAAAACGAAUGCCUAUGAAUCAGUAAGGAAAAGACAAUCCAAUAGAAAAGUGGGAAAAGACAUGAUAGGCAUUUCAUAGGAGAGAAAACACAGAUUACAUGGAAACAUGGAAAAGAUGCCCAACCUCAUGAAUAAUCAUAAUGCACAUUUAAACCACAAUGAGAUAACAUUUCACUCUACUAGAUUGGCGGGAAUGUAAAAGUCUGAUGACCAAGUGCUGGCAAGGAUUUGGAGGAAAGGGAAUUAUUAUGGGCUAGUCUCAUCCACUUUGGAAAAACCAGCAUUACCUAGAAAGACUAGAUAUGUGCACCCCUUAAGACUCAUCUAUUGCACUCCUAUUAGUAUACUCUAGGGGAACUGUUACACAUGAGCACCAGGCACCAUGUUGAAUAAUGUUCUAACAUCUUUAUUCAUAAUAACUAGAAACAAUCUGAAUGUCUAUGAAGACUAUUUAUAAAGUGGAGUACCAUAAAGACUUGAAAGUGAACGAAUGAAUCAACAUGCUUUUUGAAAAGGUAGUAUAAAAAAAGCAAGUCACAGAAAACACAAUAAGAUUCAAUUUAUGAAAAGUUCAAAAAUAGGAAUGCACCCCCCAAAAAAAAAUACUAUAUAGGGAAGCAAACACAAGUGUUAAAACUAUAACGAGAAGCAAGGGGAUGAAAACACUAAAUUCAGGACAGUGUUACCUCUGAGAGUAAGCCUCAUGCAAUUUUGAAGGGCAUCCAGGGAGUUUCUAAGGCACUAGUAAUGUACUCUUUCUCACUAAAAGCGGCGUGGUUUUUCAUUCUUUACAUUGUAGCUAUACAUUUUAGAUUGUCUUUUAUGCAUGUGAUUUACAUCACUGUAAAAAAAAAUUUUUUUUAAGUUGGUUAGGGAUGGGACCUUGCAUGCAUUCAACUUUUUAAAGCAUGAUACUUAAAUUUCCUCCCCAGUUCUGAUUCCAAUAUUAAAUCUUUUUCAAAACCACCGUAGUAUAAAAAUACAGACACAUGAGGGCACUCUAGUCAAUCAGUUAAAGGGAAAACAUUGAAACUGAAAAUGAAGAACCUCACAACCUUUUAUUGGUGAUAUUGGGGAGGUUUAGUUUCUUACAUAUAAGCUCUCAUUUUGAACCUUUCCAAAUAAUAAGCUCUCAUCAAAACAGAAUUUCCCAAUACCUUGAGUCAGUGGAACUAUAGUUUUAUCAUAGAACAGUUAAGGUAGUUUUUCAGGCAUCCCUUAAUCCACCUCACUUGGCCUUCUAGGUCCAGCUCUGAACACACGUUUUAAUAUAUAAGUAUGCAUCCGUUCUCUUUUUCUUUAGAAUUUAGUCAAAUGAGUAUUACACUUCCAGGUAUAUACUGAAAAGAAUUGAAAGCAGGGACUGAAACAGCUAUUUGAACAAUGUUCAUAGCAGCAUUGUUCACAAUAGUCAAAAAGUGGAAAUAACUAAGUGUCAACAGAUGAAUGGUUAUGAAUACUAUGGAAUAUUAUGCAGCCUUAAAAAGGAAUGAAGUGGACUUCCCUGGUGGCACAGUGGUUAACAAUCCGCCUGCCAAUGCAGGGGACACGGGUUCGAUCCCUGGUCCGGGAAGAUCCCACAUGCCUCAGAGUAACUAAGUCCAUGUGCCACAACUACUGAGCCCACACACCACAACUACUGAAGCCCGUGUGCCUAGAGCCUGUGCUUUGCAACAAGAGAAGCCACUGCAAGUGAGAAUCCCGCACACCAAAAUGAAGAGUAGCCCUCGUUCUCCGCAACUAGAGAAAGCCUGCGUGCGGCAACGAAGACCCAACACAGCAAAAAAUAAAUAAAUUUUUUUAAAAAAGGAAGUAAAUACUGGUACUUGCCACCAUAGUGAUGAACCUUGAAAACAUUAUGCCAAGUGAAAUAAUCCAGACACAGAGGAGCAAGUAUUGUAUGAUUCCACUUAUAUGAGGCACCUAUAAUUGACAACUUCAUAGGUACGAAAAGUAGAAUAGAGGUUACCUGGGCCUGGCAGGAGAUGGGACUGAGGAGUUAUUAUUUAGUGGGUACAGAGUUUCUGUUUGGGACAAUGAAAAUUUCUGGAAAAGGACAGUGGUGAUGGUUGCCCAACAUUAUGAAUAUACUUACUGUUACUGAAUUGUACACCUAAAAAUAGUUAAAAUCAUACAUUUUAUGUUAUAUAUAUUUUACCACAAAACUUUUUUAAAGAGUGAACAUUUGAGGUAUGUGAAAAUAGGUCAUCAAGCUUUCUUCACUUUUCCUUUUCUCCCUCUUUCUUUUACAUAUUCCGGCAUUUCAAAUUGAGAGAAAGGUAAAUUAUCCUAAUUAAAAUCAGAAAUAUGUAAUGUGAAGUUUUACAGAAUACUCCUUAGUCAGUGACUAUAGCUCCAUGGCUAUUUCUGAUGCUGAGGUUAAGGACAGCUUCUGGUGGCAGGAAAAUAGGCAUUCAUGAAUAUGUACAAAACAUGUUUCUGGAAAAGAUUUAAUAGAAUAUAUUUUUUAUAGAAUUUUCUGACUCUUGAUAAAAGUUGUGGAUUGUAAAUUUGAACCUCUCUGGGGGCGUUAUUAAACUUUUCAAAUUUUUCCUUCAUGUACAUCUGUGGGAGACCAGGUGUAUGGCAUUUAUAAGCACAAUAUUUAUUUAUGGGUUUCUAUUUCAGAAAAAGGUGUAUGUAAACACUCUCAGUAAAGCAUCUGCUUGUUACCAAGAGUAGAAAAAAAAUAUGCAUUUCCAUAACCAUUCCUAGAAGAAUUAAGCCUAGAGGCAGUAUAAUUAUUACUUAGAAGAUAGGUUGUUUCAUAUUCCCCUAAAAAGUGUAUUUUUUACAAAUGAGCAUACGUGCCUGCUUGGCAUUAGCACUACAAGCAGUGCUGCCAUGAACCAGUCCUGAUGUCCCUAAGUGGUCUUGCUGUGUCAUCUCUAGUCAUUCUUCGCAUUACAGCUUGGGGCGGUUGGUAGCGUUUUUUAAAGGCUACUCCCACUACAACACACUCUGAGGUAUGGGAUUUGGGAGUCCAUUUUUUAAGCCCUUCCCUGGUUCUCAGAACCAUCUCAUUUACAGUACAUUUUAAGCCAAUGGAACAGAAUGACGGGUCACAUUUGCUUUUCAGAGAGUUGAAAUAUCUCUCACUUUUUUAAGUGACCCCCUGUUUUAAGCAUUUAAAUGAUUAUAUUGAAAAUUAUUUUUUAUAUAAAUUUUAUUUUAUUUAUUUCUGGCUGUGUUGGGUCUUCAUUGCUGCACGCGGGUUUUCUCUAGUUGCGGCGAGCAGGGGCUACUCUUCAUUGUGGUACAUGGACCCCUCAUUGCGGUGGCUCUUCUUGUUGAGGAGCACGGGCUCUAGGUGCGUGGGCUUCAGUAGUUGUGGCAGGCAGGCUCAGUAGUUGUGGCUCGCAGGCUCUAGAGCACAGGCUCAGUGGUUGUGGCGCAUGGGCUUAGUUGCUCCGCGGCAUGUGGGAUCUUCCAGGACCAGGGCUCGAACCCUUGUUCCUGGCAUUAGCAGGCGGAUUAUUAACAACUGCGCCACCAGGGAAGCCCCCUGAAAGGAUUUUUAAACAGAUAUGCUAUUCCUCAAGAGUCUGCGGAGUGUCAACAGUGUAUUUGCCAGAAGCAAGUUGUGGAAGGCAACUAAAAAGCUUAAGUAAUGCUUAAAAAGCUUAGGCUCUGAAGUUAGAUAGAUCUUAAGUUUAAACUUCAGCUCAGUCAGUUGCUAGUUGGUUAAUCUUGAAUCACUUAACUGCUCCAACACAGAUUCCUGAUCCAUAUUAGGAUAACAGAAUACCAAAUAACCUGUUAUGAGGAAUAAAUGCAUCUAAAAUAGUUGGCAUAGUGUCUGCUAUAUAUAUUAAGCACUCAACAAAUGUGAGCCAUUGUAAUCACCAUCAUCAUCUUGUAGAUUCUGUUUCGUUUUGCAAUGAGGCAAGGGGGACAGAAUAAGAGGCUAAUUUCCCGUCAACUCCCUCUAUUGCCCAAGGAUAAAUGAUUUCAUGAAAACUUCAUGAAAAAAAUAGCAUUGCUGCCAUAAUUACUUAAUUAUACAUUUCUGCCAAUUCACUACCCUGCACAUUCAAAUAAAGAUGUACUAAUCUUGGGAUUAAGAUGGUCCAGUGGUUAAGACUUCAUGCUUCCACUGCACAGGGCGUGUGAUCAAUCCCUGGUUGGGAUCUUCAUGCCUGGGAAGUGUCACAGCCAAGAAAAAUAAAAUAAAAUUUUGAAAAUAUUUUUAUUUUUUAUUUUCAUGUGGGAAAUGGUGGUUUUUUAAAAUAUUUAUUUAUUUGGCUAUGCUGGGUCUUAGUUGAGGCAUGCAGGAUCUUUUAAUUGUGGUAUGCAGGAUCUAGUUCCCUGACCAGGGAUCAAACCUGGGCCUCCUGCAUUGGGAGCAUGGAGUCUUAACCACUGGGCCACCAGGGAAGUCACCAAAAAAUAUUAAAAAAAAAAAAAAAAGUUACACAUGAAGAAAGAUCUCCAGUAAUUUAUUUGUUAGUUCUUUGGGAUUAGGAAAUGUAUGUGAAUAGAUUCCUUUGUGGUAUUGAUGUCCACCAUGGCCUGAAUAUUAAGAUUCUGCUUUAUAUAUAUGAGACAGUAAAAUAUGUGUUGAAUGCUUAAAGACAUUUUAAAGUGCUUAGAUAAGUAUCCCAGUAUCAUAGUCUCACCUUUUAGAUUUAUAUGGCAGUAAUAAUAAUAGUAUUUAAUCAUCACUCCCUCAGUUAUCUUUUUAUUGCUGUGUAACAACCACCUGAAAACCUAGAAGCUAAAGUAACAACCAUUUUAUUUGGGCUGGUCUCAGCUAGGCAGUUCUGGUCUCGCCUGGUUUCCCUCAUGUAAUUGUGGUUAUCUGAGAGCUCAGCUUGGAGGAAGGGGGUUAGGUGGUCUAAGGUACUUCACCUCCCUAUCUAGCUGAUGGCUAUGGCUGUUGUCUGGGCCAUGUGUCUUUCACAUCAUGGUCUCAGGGUUCCAGUAGAGUCAGACCAGAAGCUGCAAGGCAUAGUAAGCACUUGGCUCAUUAGCUACACAACUUCAUUUUUGCCACAUUCGGUUGGCCAAAGCAAGUCGCAAAGCCAUGCCAAGAAUCAAGGAAGUGGAGAAGUAGACUUUACUUCCUGGUCAGUUAUAGCUAAGACACACUACAAAAGGGCAUGCACGUAGGAUGGAGGAAUUUAUGGCCAUUUUCAACAAUCUACAUGCUAGGCACUUUACACGUUUGCAUGCAUUAUCUCAUUUAUUUUUCACAACCAUCCUAUGAGAUGUGUAUAUUAUUGAACCUAUUUUACAGAUGAGAAAACUGAAACACAGGGAUGUUAUGUAAGUUAACAUUUCUAUUUGGAAAAUGUUUAUUAAGGGUUCUUAAUGGGGCUUACCUGGUGGUGCAGUGUUUAAGAAUCCGCCUGCCAAUGUAGGGGACAUCAUUUCGAGCCCUGGUCCAGGAAGAUCCCACAUGCCACGGAGCAACUAAGCCCGUGCGCCACAACUGCUAAAGCCCGUGUGCCACAACUGCUGAAGCCUGUGUGCCACAACUACUGAAGCCUGCACGCCUAGAGCCCGUGCUCCGCAACCAGAGAAGCCACCACAAUGAGAAGCCCGCGCACCGAAACGAAGAGUAGCUCCCGCUCACUGCAGCUAGAGAAAGCCUGCGCACAGCAACCAAGACCCAGCGCAGCCAAUAAUUAAUAAAUACAUAAAUUUAUUUUUUAAAAAAAGUUCUUAAUGACUAAAACUAUGCUGGUAAUAGAAUGUUACAUUUAAAGGAAGCAUAAAAUAUUAUAAAUAAAGUAAUUCAAUUAUGUUUUUAAAAUAUAUGCACACAAACAUUCUGGGAGGAAAUAUUCAAAAAUAUUAAAUUCUUCUGAGUUGGAAAGUAAUGGAUAAUUGUGAUUCCAUCUUUUUUUGUUUUCCACAUUGUUUAUGAGUAUAUAUUUACUUUUAGAAAUUAAAAGUAAUGUUUAAAAAGUAAAUCUCUAUAAAAACUCACAAGAAGAAAUAGAUGAUCUGAAUAGACCUUUGUCUAUUAUAAUGAAUCGAUAACUAAUAACCUUCUAAAACAGAAAGCACCAGGCCCACAUGGGUUCACUGGUGAAUUCAACCAAACGCUUAAGGAAGAAAGUAUACAAAUUCUUUACAAUCUCUUCCAGAAAAUAGAAGAAGAGAGAACACUUCUUAACUCAUUCUGUAAGGCCAGCAUUACCCUAAUACCCAAACCAGACAAAGACAGUACAAGAAAGAAAAACAACAGACUAAUAUUUAUCAUAAGCAUAGAUGCAAAAAUCCUUAACAAAUAAUAGCAAAUCAAAUCCAACAAUGUGUAAAAAGUUAUACAUUAUGACCAAGUGGGAUUUAUCCCAGAUAGGCAAAUCAGGGAGCAUGAUGCCUCCAGCUUUAUUUUUCUUUCUCAAGAUUGCUUGGCUCUUCAGGCUCUUUUGUGGUUCCAUACAAAUCUUAGGAUUGUUUGUUCUAUUUCUGUGAAAAAUGCCAUUGGAAUUUUUAUAGGGAUUGCUUUUAAUCUGUGGAUUGCUUUGGGUAGUAUGGAUAUUUUAACAAUAUUAAUUCUUCUAAUCCAUGAGCAUAGAAUAUUUUUCCAUUUAGCUGUGUCUUCUUCAAUUUCUUUUCUGAAUGUCUUAUAGUUUUCAGUACGUAGGUCUUUGACCUCCUAGGUUGAAUUUAUUCCUAGGUAUUUUAUUCUUUUUGGUGCAAUUGUAAAUGAGAUUGUUUUCUCAAUUUCCCUAUGUCUUACAGCUUUCUUUCCAGCUUAAAGAAGCCCCUUUAACAUUUCUUUUAAGGCUAGUUUAAUGGUGAUGAACUCCUUGAGCUUUUGCUUUCUGGAAAACUCUUUAUCCUUCAAUUCUGAAUGAUAACUUUGUCAGGUGGAGUAUUCUUGGUUGCAAGUUUUUUCCCCUUUCAGCUCUUUGAAUAUAUCAUGACACUCCCUCCUGGACUGAAAAGUUUUUUUCUGCUGAAGAAUCUGCUGAGAGUCUUAUGGGGGUUCCCUUGUAUGUAACAAGUUAUUUUUCUCCUUCUAUUUGCUGCUCUGUUGAGUUUGACUGCCUUGUCUUCAUGUUCACUGAUUGUUUCUACUGCUUCAUCUUGUCUGCUGUUGAACCCUUAAGUGUAUUUUUCAGUUAUUAUAUUCUUCAGCUCUGUUACUUCUAUUUGAUACUUUCUUAUAUUUUCUAUCUCUCUGUUGAAAUUUUCACUGUGUUCAUCUAUUCUUCUCUUCAUUUCAGCAAGCAUCUUUAUGACCAUUAGUUUUAACUUUUUAUCAGGUAAAUUACUUAUCUCCGUUUCAUUCAGUUUCUUCUGAGAUUUUAUCUUAUUUUUUCAUUUGGAACAUAUUCCUCUGUUUCUUCAUUUUGCUUGACUUUCUGUGUUGGUUUCUAUACAGUAGAUAAAACAACUACCUCACCCAGUCUUGAAGGAGCGGCCUCGUGCUGGAGGUGAAAUUUGUCAUUCAACCCUGCCCCAGCUCUUGGUUGUCUCUCAAAUCUUGUGCUUGUCCAAACAGCUUAUUAUUUUUUUUAUUCAAGUAUAGUUGACUUACAAUGUUGUGUAAAUUAAUUUCUGCUGUACCCCAAAGUGUUUCAGUUAUACAUAUAUAUACAUUCUUUUUCAUAUUCUUUUCUAUUAUGGUUUAUCACAGGAUAUUGAAUAUAGUUCCCUGUGCUCUACAGUAGGACCUUGUUGUUUAUCCAUUUUAUAUAUAAUAGUUUGCAUCUGCUAAUCCCAAACUCCCAAACAAUCCCUCCUCCCACACCCCUCCCCCUUGGCAACCACAAGUCUGUUCUCUAUGUCUGUAUGUCUGUUUCUGUUUCGUAGAUAAGUUCGUAUGUGUCAUACCACAUAAAAGUGAUAUCAUGUCAUACCACAUAUAAGUGAUAUCAUAUGGUAUUUGUCUUUCUCUUUCUGACCUACUUCACCUAGUAUGAUAAUCCCUAGGUCUAUCCAUAUUGCUGCAAAUAGCGUUAUUUCAUUCUUUUUUUAUGGCUGAGUAGUAUUCCAUUGUAUGUAUGUACCACAUCUUCUUUAUCCAUUCAUCUGUCAAUGGACAUUUAGGUUGUUUCCGUGUCUUGCCUAUUGUAAAUAGUGCUGCUGUGAACCUUGGGGUGCAUGUAUCUUUUUGAAUUAUAGUUUUGUCCAGAUAUUUGUCCAGAAGUGGGAUUGUUGGAUCAUAUGGCAACUCUAUUUUUAGCUUUUUGAGGUACCUCCAUACUGUUCUCCAUACUGUUUUCCACAGUGCCUACACCAAUAUACAUUCCCACCAACAAUGCAGGAGUGUUGCCUUUUCUCCACAGCCUCUCCAGCAUUUGUUAUUUGUAGAUUUUUUUUUACUUAUUUAUUUAUUUUUAUUUUUGGCUGCAUUGUGUCUUCAUUGCUAUGCGCAGGCUUUCUCUAGUUGCGGCAAGAGGAGACUGCUCUUUGUUGCGGUGCACGGGCUUCUCAUGGUGGCUUCUCUUGUUGCAGAGCAUGGACUCUAGGCGCACAGGCUUCAGUAGUUGUGGCACAUAGGCUUAGUAGUUGUGGCUCACAGGCUCAGUAGUUGUGGCACACAGGCUUAGUUGCUCCGCAGCAUGUGGGAUCUUCCCAGACCAGGGCUUGAACCCGUGUCCCCUGCGUUGGCAGGCAGAUUCUUAACCACUGUGCCACCAGGGAAGCCCCUGUAGAUUUUUUAAUGAUGGCCAUUCUGACCAGUGUGAGGUGGCAACUCAUUGUAGUUUUGAUUUACAUUUCUCUAAUAAUUAGCAAUGUUGGGUACCUUUUCAUGUGCCUGUUGGCCAUUUGUAUGUCUUCUUUGGAGAAAUGUCUAUUUAGGUCUUCUGCCCAUUGUUUUUUUUUGUUUGUUUUUUUUUUAAAUGCCUGCCUAGAAAAUGCACAGGCAAGAACUAAGUAGAUGAAAUUUUUUGUGUGGUUUUUUUUUUUUUUUUUAAUAAAGGAGGGUUUUCUUUUCUUUUUUUAUAUUUAUUUAUUUAUUUAUUUUUGGCUGCAUUGGGUCUUUGUUGCUGCACACAAGCUUUCUCUAGUUGUGGCAAGCGGGGCUACUCUUUGUUGCAGUGCACGGGCUUCUCAUUGUGGUGGCUUCUCUUGUUGUGGAGCACGGGAUCUAGGCGCGCAGGCUUCAGUAGUUGCAGCACGUGGGCUCAGUAGUUGUGGCUCAUGGGCUUGGUUGCUCCACAGCAUGUGGGAUCUUCCCAGACCAGGGCUCGAACCCGUGUCCCCUGCAUUGGCAGGAGGUUUCUCAACCACUGCGCAACCAGAGAAGCCCUUCUGUCCAUUUUUUGAUUGGGUUGUUUGUUGUUGUUGUGUUGUUGUUGAAUUGUAUGAGCUGUUUGUGUAUCUUGGAAAUUAAUACUUUGUCAGUCGCAUCAUUUGCAAAUAUUUUCUCCCAGUCUGUAGGUUGUCUUUUCAUUUUGUUUAUGGUUUCCUUUGCUGUACAAAAGCUUGUAAGUUUGAUUAGGUCCCAUUUGUUUAUUUUUGCUUUUAUUCCUGUUGGGUCGGCAGACUGACCUAAGAAAACAUUGGUACAACUUACGUAAGAGAAUGUUUUGCCUAUGUUUUCUUCUAGGAGUUUUACGGUGUCAUGUCUUAUAUUUAAGUCUUUAAGCUAUGUUGAGUUUAUUUUUGUAUAGGGCGUGAGGGUGUGUUCUCAAUUCAUUGAUUUACAUGCAGCUCAAACAGCCUAUGAUACUUUUACUUGCUCCCAGUAAAAGGCGUGUGCCAAGACCUGUCAUGUCCCAAAGGGGAGGGUCUCAGCACCUGGAUUCAGGCUGACUGGAAGCCAGACCCUCAGGCAGCAGCUUUUAAAAGAAUGCAACGUAUACAGCCCUGUGGGACUGCAAGUGUAAGCCCCACUGGCCACCAGAGCCAGGCUAUCUGGAGGUGUCCCCUGGGCAGCGGCUGCAAAAACUGGGACUCCAGACGAGCGUAUAAGCUCUUCUCUGGUAAAUACCAGUGAGCUAGGGAAAGGUAGAGGGAGCAUGCCCAAAUGAUCCACAGCCCACGUUCAUUUUGUUUUGUUUUAAUAGUGGUCACCCACUAUUAAAGUGGUAUCUUAUUAUGGCUUAGAUUUUCAUUUACCUAGUGAUUAGUGAUGUUGAGCAUCUUUUCAUAUGCCUCUUGGCCAGGUAUCUGGGUUUUAAACUGUUAUAGAGUGCUGAAUUGUAGCUGUUUUCAGCCAAUCCUCGUGUCUUUUGUAAGACUACAUAACAAAAAUAGCUCACAAACAAUCUAGAGACCAAUGAGCUUUUUAAGGUGCCUCAGAAGUUCAGCCCAUGUCACUUCAGUUGGGUUCUAACACUGUUGAGUUGGAGACCUUCAAUGUGGCCCAAAGCAUGUAGCAGUUCUAAUUCAAUCACUGUUUAAGUAAGUGGAUGAAUACUCAGAAGGAUAUAAAAGCCUCUUAAAAGAGAAGGAAUGUCUUAUUACAUACAGAAAACUCUAGGCCUACAUGGUUCCACUGCUGUAUUCUUCCAUCCAUUUAAGGAAGAAAUAAGACCAACUCUACACAAAUGUUUCCAGAAAGUAGAACACUUCCCAACUCUUAUUAUGAGGCUGGCAUUGCUCUGAUCCCAAAGCCAGACAAACGCUCUCUGCAGAGGGCCCUCAGACCUCCUUCCUAAAGCACACUGACUGGUACCAGUGGGAGCUGACUGGUGAAGCUGGGCCUGGAGCUCAGUGCUGGAAAGGGGGUGGGGAGGUGGUACAGGCUGGGGUGCUGUGGGAGUUCAGUCAGGACGAGCACCCUGAAAGGAGCUUUACAGAAGCGCAAGUUCUCCGGGUCCUGUGUGUGAUGCAGCAGGAGGGGCCUCCUUCAGAAGCAGCUCGCUCAUGCUGUGCAGUGUCUUUUUCCUUCUUUAAAGUUUAUUUUUGUGUCCCGUUGAGUGAAAUGCACCUUCCCACUGUACAGAACAGAAGGAAUAGUUACUCUGCUUUUUCAUCAAAUGAGAAUUUUUCUGGCAGUUUUGCAGUGAUUGACGUGGUUUAGCCAUUUUCACAAAAUUCCUCCCCAUUCUUUUUACGCCUGUUUUGUCCUGAGUCCUUAGGUUUCUGUGGUCCCCAAGGUCCAUGCACUUGGCCUGCUCCCCUGGCUGUGGAAGAAGAGGGGGCUCCUGCUGUCUCCCCCAGCUCCGUCUGCUGUGCUGCCUGCCAGGUGGAGUGAAGGCCACAUGGGACCAUCAAAGCCCUUUCCAUCAUCUUAGAUCCUGACCUUCCCAUGAAACCUGCCCAGGAGGAGGGGGUGACACCAAGAAGGAGGAGAAAAGCUAGUGGAGUAAAUACUAAGACCUGCAGGUGUGGAGACCCUGAGUCCCGUCUGGGAGCCCAAGGAUGCAGGCAGGGUCCCAGCGAGGGCGGCUCAAGACGCCUUCCCUUGGCAUCCUUGUCAUCGCAGCUCAGGAACUGUCCAAGAGCACACAAGGCACGUCCAAACCCGGACCUAAUGCAGGACUCACCCCGCGGGGCACCCACAGGCCCUCAGCGAGGAGCGUGUGCCCCACGGAAGGCUGUACCAUGCUUGCCAGGACUGGAGAGGCUGCCUGGAAACACUUUUUUUCCUGCCUUUAGAAAUUUGCUUGCACUUUCUAGAAAAUAUACAUUAUAUAUAUAUUUUUUAUAUGUAAAAAUAUAAAUACACACACAUAUUCAGAUGUGUCCCUUGAAACUGUGAUGCCCGCACGUUAGCAUUCUCAUCUUAAACAGAGAACACUUGGCUUGGGGGUAGAGCUACCUGUAUGCUAAAUCAGCAGCUGUGGCUUGUCUCGCCCCUUAGGUUUCAGAUCUGCCUGGCCCUGUGAGGCACGAGGUUCCCCUGGGCUUUGAUGUCAGAAGAACUUGAGGUGCCCUGUCCCUCCCUCGGGUCCCCACACCCUGGAGCCUCAGCUCCUCCAUCUCUGCUUACCUGGCACGAGAUGCAAAGUGCCCGGGGCAGCUUGGCGCCAAUGGACAGAAACUCCUUUAAGCAGCUUCCAGCCUUGGAGGACCCGACAGAUCCAACUUUUUCAGUUUUACACUCAAUGUGCAAGUAUAUUGAACAUGAAUCGUCUUCAUUUAUCACCCAAGUGAGAAAACAUGGGUCUUUUAAAAACCUACGAAAUGUAAACUUUUCCUAAGACCUCAUCUAUACAAAGAAGUAACUACUAGUUGGACUGAUCUUUCAAGACGUUUCUCUAUGAUUACUUAUUUUCUGAAAUGUUUUAUUUCUUAUUAAAAUAACAUGUAUUGCACAAAAUUCAGAAGAAAAUAUCAAAGUGAAAGAAGAAAUUUUUUAAAUUAACCAUAACCCUGUGAGGUAGAGUGAUAACAACUAUGAAUAUUUUGGUGUUUUUCAUUCAUUUUGUGUGGAUACACAUGUAUAUAAAUAAAUACGUGCCAAUGUGGAA